GUCAUACGUCUUCUCCAAGUCGAUAAGCACCAUGUGCAAGUCCUUCUUCUUAUCCCUGAACUGCUCGACCAGCCUCCUGACAAGGUGGAUAGCUUCUGUAGUAGAGCGACCCGGCAUGAAACCGAACUGGUUCACAGAUAUAGAUGUCAUCUCCCUCACCCUCGCCUCGAUCACCCUCUCCCAGACCUUCAGGUGUGACUUAUUAAUUUGAUGCCCCUAUAGUUGUUGCAGCACUGGAUGUCUCAUUUGUUCUUGUACAAGGGCACCACUGUAUUCCACCUCCACUCCUCCGGCAUCAUUUUGGUCCUGAAGAUCGCAUUGAACAACCUGGAGAGUCACUCCACUCCUGACUUACCCAUGCAUUUCAAGAACUCCACCGGGAUCUCGUCAGGCCCGGUCGCUCGACCCUUACUCAUCCUACGCAAAUCCCUCAUGACCUCCUCCGCCCUAAUGCGCCUGCAGUACCCAAGGUUUCUAUGUUGCUCUGAAUNNNNNNNNNNNNNNNNNNCAGAACUCCACCGGUAUCUCGUCAGGCCCGGUCGCUCGACCCCUACUCAUCCUACGCAAAGCCCCCAUGACCUCCUCAGCCCUAAUGCGCCUGCAGUACCCAAGGUUUCUAUAUUGCUCUGAAUUCCCCAAGUCCCCUAGCUCUAUGUUACGAUCCCCCUCCUCGUUAAGUAAGUCUCGAAAGUACGCCUGCCACCUCUGCUUGACUUGAGACUCCCCCAUGAGAACUCUACCAUCCUCGCCCUUGAUACACCUAACUUGAUCAAGAUCAUGCACCUUCAUUUCCCUUAUUUUAGCUAACCGGAAUAACUUCCUGUCCCCGCCUUUCUCCCCUAAUUCCUCGUAUAUGCGACCN
rnacentral:lncRNA from 1 species